CCUACGGGUGGCAGCAGUGAGGAAUCUUAGUCAAUGGACGAGAGUCUGAACCAGCCCAGUAGCGUGAAGGAUGACUGCCCUAUGGGUUGUAAACUUCUUUUAUAUGGGAAUAAAACAGGGUAUGCAUACACUCUUGUAUGUACCAUAUGAAUAAGGAUCGGCUAACUCCGUGCCCGCAGCCGCGGUACUACUGAGGAUCCGAGAGUUAGCCGGAUUUAUUGGGUUUAAAGGGAGCGUAGGUUGAUUGUGAAGUCAGUUGUGAAAGUUUGCGGCUCAACCGUAAAAUUGCAGUUGAAACUGGCAGUCUUGAGUACAGUAGAGGUGAGCGGAAUUCGUGGUGUAGCGGUGAAAUGCUUAGAUAUCACGAAGAACUCCGAUUGCGAAGGCAGCUCACUGGACUGCAACUGACACUGAUGCUCGAAAGUGUGGGUAUCAAACAGGAUUAGAUACCCUUGUAGUC
rnacentral:rRNA from 1 species